UGGGGAAUAUUGCACAAUGGGGGAGACCCUGAUGCAGCGACGCCGCGUGAGCGAUGAAGUAUUUCGGUAUGUAAAGCUCUAUCAGCAGGGAAGAAGAUGACGGUACCUGACUAAGAAGCCCCGGCUAACUACGUGCCAGCAGCCGCGGUAAUACGUAGGGGGCAAGCGUUAUCCGGAUUUACUGGGUGUAAAGGGAGCGUAGACGGCGGCGCAAGCCAGAUGUGAAAGCCCGGGGCUCAACUCCGGGACUGCAUUUGGAACUGUGUGGCUGGAGUGUCGGAGAGGCAGGCGGAAUUCCUAGUGUAGCGGUGAAAUGCGUAGAUAUUAGGAGGAACACCGGUGGCGAAGGCGGCCUGCUGGACUGUAACUGACGCUGAGGUUCGAAAGCGUGGGUAGCAAACAGG
rnacentral:rRNA from 1 species